rnacentral:rRNA from 1 species
GACGGAAGGUGCAAGCGUUGCUCGGAAUCACUGGGCGUAAAGGGUGCGUAGGCGGCUGUGUAAGUCUGGCGUGAAAGCCCCGGGCUCAGCCCGGGAAGUGCGCUCGAAACUGCGCAGCUCGAGUGCCGGAGGGGAGAGUGGAAUUCCUGGUGUAGCGGUGAAAUGCGUAGAUAUCAGGAGGAACACCAGUGGCGAAGGCGACUUCCUGGCCUGUUCUUGACGCUGAGGCGCGAAAGCUAGGGUAGCAAACGGG